rnacentral:lncRNA from 1 species
GUAAGUGUAAAUCUCAGAAUUCAAUUUUAUAAAUACAAAAACACAAGCAAGAUUCAACAUAUAAUAAAGAAGAACAAUGUACACGUUUUCAUGUUAAUACAAAUUCUUAGACCCUUGAUACACAGUAAAUAAAGUGACAUAAAAACUAUAUAACAACAACAAAGAAGCAUGUGUUUUUCUCUUCAUGGGUGAUGAGUUGAAGAACAAGGAGGAGAGAAGAAUGGAGUGGCGAUGAGUUGAAGAACAAGGAGGAGAGAAGAAUGGAGUGG